rnacentral:lncRNA from 1 species
GCAGGCUGCGAUUGCAGCGCCCGUAGAGCCAGCAAGGGUGCAUUACUGGAGAGUAGGAAGACCCAGCCGUCUCCGUCCGGUGCCAGGUGGGACACAGCCAUCAUCCCGAGCUUCGAGUCCCUUCCUUCAUGACUGCAGACUUUCUCUCCAGAGUCCAAGUGCUGGUGGGAAACAGCAGACCAUACAUGGGUCAGGCAGCCAUCAUCUCUUUCAGCUCUGGGUUAGAACCUGAGAAAGAGAGGCAAAAACAUUCUGUGCCCACGGAUGUUGGAAACCCAGCAUAGACUUGCACUCCUCAAUCAAAAGCACAGAAAAGUCCUUAGGGUUGUUUCUGUAUACGUAGCGCCCUACCUGACUUCUGAGAGACCUUGGUCACCCUCCUCUCUCUUCAGUUUAGGUCUUUGGAGAUGCUGCCAGAAGAAACCAGCUUAACUAAGAGGGGUGGGGAGGUUAGCAUGUGUCAUUUUCUUCGUGGUCCUCAAGUUGGGAAGGGAGGGUUCAGUGUCUGGAAAGAAACAUACAGGGGAGGAAAAUCCAAAGAUUUGCUCCCAAGCCUGAGCGGGUGAUGUGUUGGUGUCAUGCCUGAGCCGCAGAUGGCAGCCAGAGCUCACAGGGGCGGGUGUUCUGUGGGCGUGACUUCUACGUGGAAAUCCCAAUAAAAUGCAGUCUGCUUCCC